CUACUACUCCCUUCGUCCGGAAAUACUUGUCAUUAAAACCAAUAAAAGGAGAUGCAUCUAGACGUAUUUUAGUUCUAGAUACAUCUCAUUUUAUCCAUUUUGAUGACAAGUAUUUUCGGACGGAGGGAGUACAAC
rnacentral:pre_miRNA from 1 species